rnacentral:rRNA from 1 species
UACGUAGGGCGCAAGCGUUAUCCGGAAUUAUUGGGCGUAAAGAGCUCGUAGGCGGUUUGUCGCGUCUGCCGUGAAAGUCCGGGGCUCAACUCCGGAUCUGCGGUGGGUACGGGCAGACUAGAGUGAUGUAGGGGAGACUGGAAUUCCUGGUGUAGCGGUGAAAUGCGCAGAUAUCAGGGAGAACACCGAGUGGCGAAGGCAGGUCUGCUGGCAUUAACUGACGCUGAGGAAGCGGAAAGCA